CUUCAUUUGCUUCUUUGUCUUCUCUCUUCGUCCACAUUGGUUUAACUCGAUUAUCUUCAGCGUCAACAGUGGGUUGUUGCAUUUCCUUUGGAAUUUCACAGGUAGUAGGUCUGGUACUUUCUUCCUCUGGAACUUGAGAGAAUUUUGAUGGAAAUUCUUGUGGAAUGAUAGGCUUGUGAUCUCCAGAUAUAAUUUUAGGCAAGGAUUCUUCCUUAGCUUUUUCAUCUGCCAAAUUAACUGGAUUAUCUCCUUGGCCUUUUCUCAUCUCUGGCAAGAUCUGGAUAUCUGUAGGACAAUCAAUCUUUUCGGCUUCAGCAGAAGGUGUUGACUCUUCAAUGAUAGUGGGACCUUGCUUUACUGGUUCUUUAGUUGUAUCUUCUGGUUGCUCAAGUUGGUAUUGAAAUUGAACGUUGGGCUCACAAGAUGGUUCUAUCAUCUGUGGAAUACGAGGCACUUGGAGUGGAGGAAUGCCUGCAAUAAGUUCUUCAGAUCGACCAGAGCUAUAUUCAUCUUGUUGUGAAAUUUCAGCUGCUCCCUAUAGCAAUCAUGUAUAUAUAUUAUUAUCGACAUUUCAAAUCCUGAUUUAAUGAGAAAUGAACUUAACAGUGCAAGCUAAGAAAGUGAAUUCUCUUAAGACCAACAACUGCUUUAGUGGAUUUGAAUUUGAAGCAACACUUACAGUCUUGGGAGCAGGAAAAGGUAGUAUGUCUGGCACUUUCUUUCUCUGGAACUUGAGAGAAAUUUAAUGGAAAUUCUUGUGGAAUGAUAGGCUCGUGAACUUCAGAUAUAGUUUUAGGCAAGGCUUCUUCCUUAGGUUUUUCAUCUGCCAAUUUAACUGGCUUAUCUUCCUGGCCUUUUAUCAUCUCUGGAAAGCUCUGGAUAUCCAUAGGAACAUCAAUCUUUUCAGCUUCAGCAGAAGAUGGUGACUCUUCAAUGAUAGUGGGACCUUGCUUUACUGGUUCUUUACUUGUAUCUUCUGGUUGCUCAACUUGGUAUUGAAAUUGAACUUUGGGCUCACUGGAUGGUUCUAUCAUCUCUGGAAUACCAGGCACUUGGACCAGAGGGAUGCGUGCCAGAAGUUCUUCAGAUUGACUAGAGAUUAUUAUCGACAUUUCAAAUCUUGAUUUUAUGAGAAGUGAAUGUAACAAUGCAAGCUAGGAAAGUGAGUUCUCUUAAGACCAACAGCUGCUUUAUUGGAUUUGAAUUUGAAGCAACACUUACACCCUUGGGAGCAGAAGAAGGUGGCUCCUCAUGCUUCUUUUCUUGUACAUAUUUUGGUGGUUGCAGCUCCUCUUCAUUUGCUUCUUUGUCUGCCAUCUCCUUCCACUUUGGUUUAGCUAGCUUAUCUUCAGCAUCAACAGUGGGUUGUUGUACUUCCUUUGGAAUUUCACAAAUUGUAGGUCUGGCACUUUCUCUCUGUGGAACUUGAGAGAAUCUUGACGGAAAUUCUUGUGGAAUGAUUGGUUUGUGAACUCCAGAUAUAGUUCUAGGCAAGGCUUCUUCCUUAGGUUUUUCAUCUGCCAAUAUAAUUGGCUUAUCUUCCUGGCCUUUUCUCAUCUCUGGCAAGCUCUGGAUAUCCGUCGGAACAUUAAUCUUUUCAGCUUCAGCAGAAGGUGUUGACUCUCCAAUGAUAGGAGGACCUUGCUUUACUGGUUCUUUGGUUGUAUCUUCUGGUUGCUCGACUUGGUAUUGAAAUUGAACUUUGGACUCACUGGAUGGUUCUUUCAUCUCUGGAAUACCAGGCUCUUGGAGUGGAGGAGUGUCUGCCAGAAGUUCUUCAGAUUGACCAGAGGUAUCUUCAUCUUCUUUUGGAAUUUCAGCAGCUCCCUAAAGCAAUCAUUUAUACAAGUAAAUGAAAGAGACACCUAAAGCACACAAGUAAGAUUAUUUUCAGCAGUUCAUUUCCUGAUUUGAUGAAAAGUCAAUGCAACAUUGCUAGCUAAUGAUGAGGGGAGAAACAAGAAUACGAGUUGUGUAAGUUCUAUGGCUAAUGAAAUGGUUGGAAAUAUAUGACUGUGUUUCAUGCAGAUUAUUAACAACAGUUCAUUUCCUGAUUUGAUGAAAAGUCAAUGCAAUGGUGCAAGCUAAGGAUGAGGGUAGGAACGAGAAUAUGAUAAAUUGUGUAAGGUCUAUGGCUAAUGAAUGGUUGGAAAUAUGUGAUUUUGUUCAUGCAGAUUAUUGUCAAGUUAGUUUCCUGGUUUGAUGAUAAGUCAAUACAGCAGUGCAAGCUAAGGAUGAGGGGCCUCUUAGGACCAACGUCUGCUUUAGUGGAUUUGAAUUUUAAGCAUUACUUAAAUCCUUGGGAGCAGAAGAAUGUGGCUCCCCAUCCUUCUAUUCUUGGAUGGAUAUUGCUGGUUGCAUCUUCUCUUCAUUUGAUUCUCUUUCUUCCCCUUCCUUUUGUUCCCACUUUGAUUUGACUGGUUUAUCUUCAAUAUCAACAGUGGGUUGUUGCAUUUCCUUUGGAAGUAGUUGGUCUAGUACUUUCUUUUGCUGGAAUUUGAGAGGAUUUUGAUAGAAAUUCUUGUGGAAUGAUAGGUGUAUGAACUUUGGAGAUAGUUUUAGACAAGGGGACUUUCUCAGGUAUUUCUUUUGCUGAUUUGACUGUCUUAUCUUCCCGCCCCUCUCUUAACUUGAGCAAGCCCUGGAUAUCCUUUGGAACUUCCAUAAUUUCAGCUUCAGUUGGAGGUGUCAAUUCUUUGAUGGCAAUUGGAUCUUGCACUCUUUUUACUGGUGUUUUAAUUGUAUCCUCUGGUUGCUCAACUUGGUAUUGAAAUUGAACUUCAGGUUCACUGGAUGGUUCUGUCAUGUCUGGAAUACCAGGCACCUGGAGUAGAGGGAUUUCUGGAAAAAUUUCUUAAGAUUUAUCAGAGAUAUCUUCAUCCUGUUAUAGAAAUUAUGUGGCUUCCUAUAGCAAUCAUUUAUACAAGUAAAUGAAAAGCAACUGAAAUCAUACAAGUUAGAUGGAUAUCUGAAGCUAUAAUAUGUUUUUUGAAUUCCAUAGGGAAGGAAACAAAAUCUGUCUUAUAUCCAAUCGCUUGUACUGGGAUAUGUGGCAAGUGGGUUGAACAUAUGUUUUUAAAAUUUUCUACUGGAUCAGGUGCUUUUCAAUUUGUCCUACUCUGGCUAUAUUGAUAUCUUGAUAAGCACGUCAUGCUUUUUGUGAGAGGGCCUUGAACUCUUUGUGAAUUCUAUCUUGUUAAUUAGAAUAAAAUUCAAUACUCAAAUCUAAAGUUCUUUUUAUUUAUAGUGUAUGACCAUGUGUAACUUUCUAUAUGUUUGUUAGUUAUUAUAAUUUAUGACCAUAUGCUGAUGUAAAUUCAAACAGAAUCCAAGCCCACGAUGAUCAUAGGUGUUUACUUGAGAAGUGUUGGUAAUUGCCUAGGGACCUGAGGAGUACCUAUAACUGAAGUGACUAAACUACAAAGGCCCUGUUUAGUGAGUGAUGACA